UUGAACGAGGUGAAGCCGGGGGGGGGGGGGGGCAUCGAGCCACCUGGGCGCAUGGGGUUGGUUAGCGUUUCUCCCGAGUUUCGAACCUGCAACCUUUGUGCUGCGAGGCAACAGUCCUAACCACUGCGCAAACCAUCAUAAGAUCCCCCUGACACCAAACCCAACGCCCCAAAACUUUGGUUAGAGCAAAAUUUAGCCUGACUGGAUCCAACUCUCACCAAAAGCACAGGUCCAACCUACUCCCGGCUACGUAGACCAGACUCACACGUCUUUGGUACGGAGACAGGACGGCCCUUGGCAACGACUCUGACGGUACUCUUGGCCCUCUUGCAUCAUUCAUCAAUCCUCCGUUAAAAGCCUCAUUUUUGACCCCUCCCUUAAAUUUGACAAACAAAUGAGUUCAGUUGUCCAAACAAGUUUCUUUCAGCUCUUAUUCGAAGUAAAGACGUGCAACUCCAUAAACGAGGCAUCAGUCCUCCCUCAGCGCUCACAGGCCUUUAGGAAUGCUGCAGCUCUUCUCCUAACAGGAAUCCCAAACACUACACCGCUGCUGGCUUCAACACACCUGAUUUCAAUCAGCAGGUGAUUGAUCAACAGGCUUCUGCGAAGCCUGAUGCGCUGCUGCACAGGUGAAUCAACCAAGUGUGUUGGAGCAGAGAAACCACUAAGACAUGCUGGAGAACUCGGCACAGAUCACCCUGUGGAGACCUCCGUUUGGGAACCUCUGAGAGUCCGGGACUUCCCGUGAGCCUUGGGGGAUUCUGGGGAUUUUCCACUGAUCAACCACACCUCUGUCAACCUGCUUCAAAACACUGCUGCUCAAAGGUGCAGCAUGAGAGGCUUUUCCAGAUAGCUUGAAAUGCUUUCCACUUACUGAUGAAACGAAUGAAUUAAAGGUUUUGUCAAAAAUU